rnacentral:rRNA from 1 species
CCCUUAGAUGUUCUGGGCCGCACGCGCGCUACACUGACUACUUCAACGAGUUGUUUCCUUGAUCGAAAGGUCUGGGUAAUCUUUGAAAGGUAGUCGUGAUGGGGAUAGAUCCUUGCAAUUUUUGAUCUUCAACGAGGAAUUCCUAGUAAACGCAAGUCAUCAGCUUGCAUUGAUUACGUCCCUGCCCUUUGUACACACCGCCCGUCGCACCUACCGAUUGAAUGGUCCGGUGAAUCUUUAGGACUGUGGCUGAGGCCUUGCCUUGUGCGGGUCUGGCCGUGGGAAUUUAGUUAAACCUUACCAUUUAGAGGAGGGUGAAGUCGUAACA